rnacentral:rRNA from 1 species
AUUGAACGCUGGCGGCAUGCCUUACACAUGCAAGUCGAACGGCAGCACGGGAGCAAUCCUGGUGGCGAGUGGCGAACGGGUGAGUAAUAUAUCGGAACGUGCCCAGUCGUGGGGAUAACGUAGCGAAAGCUACGCUAAUACCGCAUACGAUCUAUGGAUGAAAGACGGGGGAGUCGCAAGACCUCGCGCGAUUGGAGCGGCCGAUAUCAGAUUAGGUAGUUGGUGAGGUAAGGCGUCACCAAGCCGACGAUCUGUAGCUGGUCUGAGAGGACGACCAGCCACACUGGGACUGAGACACGGCCCAGACUCCUACGGGAGGCAGCAGUGGGGAAGUUUUUGGUACAGUGGGCGCAAGCCUGAUCCAGCAAUGCCGCGUGCAGGAUGAA